GACGAACGCUGGCGGCGUGCUUAACACAUGCAAGUCGAACGGAAAGGCCCUGCUUUUGUGGGGUGCUCGAGUGGCGAACGGGUGAGUAACACGUGAGUAACCUGCCCUUGACUUUGGGAUAACUUCAGGAAACUGGGGCUAAUACCGGAUAGGAGCUCCUGCUGCAUGGUGGGGGUUGGAAAGUUUCGGCGGUUGGGGAUGGACUCGCGGCUUAUCAGCUUGUUGGUGGGGUAGUGGCUUACCAAGGCUUUGACGGGUAGCCGGCCUGAGAGGGUGACCGGCCACAUUGGGACUGAGGUACGGCCCAGACUCCUACGGGAGGCAGCAGUGGGGAAUAUUGCACAAUGGGCGGAAGCCUGAUGCAGCAACGCCGCGUGCGGGAUGACGGCCUUCGGGUUGUAAACCGCUUUCGCCUGUGACGAAGCGUGAGUGACGGUAAUGGGUAAAGAAGCACCGGCUAACUACGUGCCAGCAGCCGCGGUGAUACGUAGGGUGCGAGCGUUGUCCGGAUUUAUUGGGCGUAAAGGGCUCGUAGGUGGUUGAUCGCGUCGGAAGUGUAAUCUUGGGGCUUAACCCUGAGCGUGCUUUCGAUACGGGUUGACUUGAGGAAGGUAGGGGAGAAUGGAAUUCCUGGCGGAGCGGUGGAAUGCGCAGAUAUCAGGAGGAACACCAGUGGCGAAGGCGGUUCUCUGGGCCUUUCCUGACGCUGAGGAGCGAAAGCGUGGGGAGCGAACAGGCUUAGAUACCCUGGUAGUCCACGCUGUAAACGGUGGGUACUAGGUGUGGGGUCCAUUCCACGGGUUCCGUGCCGUAGCUAACGCUUUAAGUACCCCGCCUGGGGAGUACGGCCGCAAGGCUAAAACUCAAAGGAAUUGACGGGGCCCCGCACAAGCGGCGGAGCAUGCGGAUUAAUUCGAUGCAACGCGUAGAACCUUACCUGGGUUUGACAUGGAUCGGGAGUGCUCAGAGAUGGGUGUGCCUCUUUUGGGGUCGGUUCACAGGUGGUGCAUGGCUGUCGUCAGCUCGUGUCGUGAGAUGUUGGGUUAAGUCCCGCAACGAGCGCAACCCUUGUUCACUGUUGCCAGCACGUUAUGGUGGGGACUCAGUGGAGACCGCCGGGGUCAACUCGGAGGAAGGGGGGGAUGACGUCAAGUCAUCAUGCCCCUUAUGUCCAGGGCUUCACGCAUGCUACAAUGGCUGGUACAGAGAGUGGCGAGCCUGUGAGGGUGAGCGAAUCUCGGAAAGCCGGUCUCAGUUCGGAUUGGGGUCUGCAACUCGACCUCAUGAAGUCGGAGUCGCUAGUAAUCGCAGAUCAGCAACGCUGCGGUGAAUACGUUCCCGGGGCUUGUACACACCGCCCGUCAAGUCAUGAAAGUUGGUAACACCCGAAGCCGGUGGCCUAACCGUUGUGGGGGAGCCGUCGAAGGUGGGGCUGGUGAUUAGGACUAAGUCGUAACAAGGUAGCCGUACCGGAAGG
rnacentral:rRNA from 1 species